CACGAGCGCGAGGAGGUGCUGCGGAGACUGAAGAACGGUGGCUGAGGCGAAAACAGAGGUGGCAUGCAGUGCUGGAGACAGACAGAUCAUUGUAUCAUAGAAUGUUGGAAAAAUACCUAGCCUGGAGUCAAAGACAGAAGAGCACUAUUUAUUUUGGUGGAAAAUUUCAAACAGCUACGUGCCCCUCAGCGGGAGCUGACUGCUUACAGGCACUCUGGGACCUCUGCACAGCGGGAUGUUGU